UACAGAGGGUGCGAGCGUUAAUCGGAAUUACUGGGCGUAAAGGGCGCGUAGGCGGAAGACUAAGUGAGUUGUGAAAUACCUGGGCUUAACCUGGGGAAGUCAGCUCAGACUGGUUAACUGGAGUACAGUAGAGGGCAGUGGAAUUUCCGGUGUAGCGGUGAAAUGCGUAGAUAUCGGAAGGAACACCGGUGGCGAAGGCGGCUGCCUGGACUGAUACUGACGCUGAGGCGCGAGAGCGUGGGGAGCAAACAGG
rnacentral:rRNA from 1 species